AGAGUUUGAUCCUGGCUCAGGAUGAACGCUAGCUACAGGCUUAACACAUGCAAGUCGAGGGGCAGCAUCAUCAAAGCUUGCUUUGAUGGAUGGCGACCGGCGCACGGGUGAGUAACACGUAUCCAACCUGCCGACAACUCUGGGAUAGCCUUUCGAAAGAAAGAUUAAUACCGGAUGGCAUAAUUAUUCCGCAUGGGAUAAUUAUUAAAGAAUUUCGGUUGUCGAUGGGGAUGCGUUCCAUUAGGCAGUUGGCGGGGUAACGGCCCACCAAACCUACGAUGGAUAGGGGUUCUGAGAGGAAGGUCCCCCACAUUGGAACUGAGACACGGUCCAAACUCCUACGGGAGGCAGCAGUGAGGAAUAUUGGUCAAUGGGCGAGAGCCUGAACCAGCCAAGUAGCGUGAAGGAUGACUGCCCUAUGGGUUGUAAACUUCUUUUAUACGGGAAUAAAGUGAGCCACGUGUGGCUUUUUGUAUGUACCGUAUGAAUAAGGAUCGGCUAACUCCGUGCCAGCAGCCGCGGUAAUACGGAGGAUCCGAGCGUUAUCCGGAUUUAUUGGGUUUAAAGGGAGCGUAGGCGGGUUGUUAAGUCAGUUGUGAAAGUUUGCGGCUCAACCGUAAAAUUGCAGUUGAUACUGGCGACCUUGAGUGCAACAGAGGUAGGCGGAAUUCGUGGUGUAGCGGUGAAAUGCUUAGAUAUCACGAAGAACUCCGAUUGCGAAGGCAGCUUACUGGAUUGUAACUGACGCUGAUGCUCGAAAGUGUGGGUAUCAAACAGGAUUAGAUACCCUGGUAGUCCACACAGUAAACGAUGAAUACUCGCUGUUGGCGAUAUACUGUCAGCGGCCAAGCGAAAGCAUUAAGUAUUCCACCUGGGGAGUACGCCGGCAACGGUG
rnacentral:rRNA from 1 species